rnacentral:misc_RNA from 1 species
GAUGAAGAACGCAGUGAAAUGCGAUAAGUAAUGUGAAUUGCAGAAUUCAGUGAAUCAUCGAGUCUUUGAACGCACAUUGCGCCCCCUGGUAUUCCGGGGGGCAUGCCUGUCCGAGCGUCAUUGCUGCCCUCAAGCACGGCUUGUGUGUUGGGCCUCCGCCCCCCGGCUCCCGGGGGGCGGGCCCGAAAGGCAGCGGCGGCACCGCGUCCGGUCCUCGAGCGUAUGGGGCUUCGUCACCCGCUCCGUAGGCCCGGCCGGCGCCCGCCGGCGACCCCCCUCAAUCUUUCCAGGUUGACCUCGGAUCAGGUAGGGAUACCCGCUGAACUUAAGCAUAUCAAUAAGCGGAGGA